CUGUUUUCUUUCUCUACUUUGCCCUUUGUUCCUUUGUGAAGAGUCCUGCUGUAGCGGGGGAAUCUGCUUUUUUUUCCCACCUCAUAGUGGCUGAGAUUCAAUGCCGUGGGUAUUGUGUGAGCUGGUUUGCUGCAGAUUUGUGUAAUCGUUGCCCCUGUCAGGGCGGUGGAAUUUCUUUCUCUCUUUUUUUGCUUUCCUGCUGGAUUUGUCAACUGUGUUUGCUAUAUUAACAUAUGCUGGGGAUUCCUUGCUCUUUCAAUUAAACGGGCUAUCAGUAACAGCAGAAGCCUGGAGAUGCUGAACCUCUGAGGACAGGAACGGCGAGAGAGCAAGACCCAUGGACUGUGUUGCACAUGGGUCAGUGAAACAGCAGCUUUCCCACACACCUGGACAUACCAGAGAACCAGCCUGACCAAAGGAGCUCGCACCUCAUUGCCCAGAUGCGACCUCUGGCAGGGCCCCUGCUCUGCGAAAAUGGGCAUUCUUCAAUGGAUACCCAUAGAGAACAGGCUAUGGUUUGCCUACAGGCCGUGGUGGAGAUCUGAAAGUUCAGGCGACUUCCCUCUACCCUCCCUGCUCCUCUUCUCCCCCCCUCUCUCUGAGGCUCUCUUCGGUGACGGGUAUUCUUGGGUGGAUAAUACGGAUCACGUUGUUAUUGCUUAAGAAUACGCGUAGUUGAGGAGAGUCAUUUACGACCGCGCCUUUGGGGAGCUGACCUCUGCUGAACACUUUCCGAAACAUCCCGGCCCGGGCUGCCUCCGUCACACUGUUAGGCACUGGAAAAAGGAGGGAAAAGACGUUUCUAUUGGGGUUCAUUUAUCAGUCCACCACAUAAUCAUUUUCUGCCGCACUUUCAUUGAUUUCUCCCCUGCAAGCCUUCAUGUCGCUAUUACUUCAGCAUUACAGCGAGCUGCGUCAGGAGAGCGGCGUUUCCCGCUCUCCUGUUGAGACAUCCGUUAUACCAUUCUUUGUCAUGCAUUUUUAUUUCCUCCCUCCAUCUUGCUAUCAUCCAUCCCGCCUAAGUGAGGGUUUAUGUAGCGCUAUUCAGCAAGUCGCAUUUUGCA